GCUAAAACUGUACUACGAUCUAGGUUCGCAACCCUCACGAGCUGUGUUCAUGUUUUUAAAGCUAAACAACAUUCCGUUUGAUGAAGUUUUUGUUUCCAUUGGGGCAGGAGAGCACAGGCAAGAGGAGUUCCGAAAGAUCAACCCCUUCCGGCGUGUACCCGUGAUAGACGACAAUGGAUUUGUCCUCACCGAGAGUGUUGCGAUAUUGAAAUAUUUGGCUAAGAAAUACAAAGCACCAAGCCACUGGUAUCCAGAGAAUGACACUGCAACUACUGCCAGAAUUGAUGAAUACAUGAAUUGGCAGCAUCAAAAUCUGCGACAAAACUGUGCAAUGCUUUUCCAAAACCUGGUAAUUUGUGUAUACAAAUAUUCUGAUACCAAGAAUGAAAGGAAUGCCGAUAGACUGGGAAAAGGUCAAAUUUUACCGGAAAAAGGUCGCCGAAAUGGUCAAACUACUAGACCAAUACUUUCUUAAAAACAAUUUAUACCUGUGUGGAGAUGAAAUAACUUUGGCGGAUCUUUUAGGGGUGUGUGAGUUGGUCCAGCUUGUUCCUGUUCGUGAACAAAUGAUGUAUGAAAGCAACGCCAAGGUCAAAGCAUGGGUCGAUCGCGUCAAAUCGAGACUAGGGUCACUGUUUGAUCAGACCCAUGAGGGCAUUUUCGGAAUGGAAGCCAUGUUUGACCCAAAAGUCAAUUCCAAAAUGUGAAUUUCUUCUUACACCAAUUUUGGAACAUUUACAUCUUCUUUCUGAAUCCCGGUAUCGGUGGAUAUUUGAAUUUAAAAAUUGACUCCAUAAAUUAUAGUUGGUUCUGUACCCUGCAAAUACUCAUAACUUUCUACUACACGUAUCAUGUGUAAUAUGUUUUUAAAAAGUAAUUGCUAUAAAAGUCGUGGUACAAGCC
rnacentral:misc_RNA from 1 species